AGUCACUGACAUUAGACUACCCCCGUAGUCCCAGCCGUAAACUAUGCGCGUUAGGUGUAUCGGUGACCACGAGUCACCGAGGUGCCGAAGGGAAACCGUGAAACGUGCCGCUUGGGAAGUACGGUCGCAAGGCUGAAACUUAAAGGAAUUGGCGGGGAGCACCACAACGGGUGGAGCCUGCGGUUUAAUUGGACUCAACGCCGGGAAGCUCACCGGAUAAGACAGCGGAAUGAUUGCCGGGCUGAAGACUCUGCAUGACUAGCUG
rnacentral:rRNA from 1 species